rnacentral:lncRNA from 1 species
AUGUACUUUCGACUCUACUUGGUGGUACACUUUUGAAGCCCUAUCAGGUUAAGAGUUAAAAUAUUUUAUUUUCUCAUCCAGUUUAUAAGGUUUCUUUCUUUCUUUCUUUUCUUUUCUUCUUUUUUUUUUUUUUUUCUUUUUGGACAAAAGCUAAUGAGGAUACUUACACUUUUAGCAUUUUUUAGUUAAAUUACAUGGGCAAAUGAUUUUUUUUUAAAUUUCCUCUUUGAUGAGUAUUUGAUAAGUUAGUUAAGGCAUUUUCUUGCAUAAAGCUGUUGUAGCCACACAUUCUGGGAAACAAACUCACUCAGAAGGGCAAUGCAGAUAGUGCAGUCCAGUUAAUUACACCGGUAGGCCCAAGACAGAGUCUUCUCUUAGCCAGGGAUCCUGAUCAGUUUUUGUGAAAACCUUAUAUACCCUAAGUGUACAUGCUCAAACCCACCUCCCAAAACUCUCAAAAACUAGUCUGAACAAAGGAAAAGAAAGAUAACAAUCAAAGCAUGAUCCCUAUGCCUCAAACCUGUGUUUCAUAUGCCUUAGCCUAGGUAGUUAACAGUGGACAACUAUCAAUAGGCCUGUGGUCAUACCUCAAUAAGCAUAAUAGAAUUUAUGAUUCUAUUCAGUUACACAGAUAAUUAAGGUAUUCUUUUAGGCAUUGGAGAGUCUAGGUAUGAGCCCUGGGGCUCUUCCCUCCUGGGGGUCUGGUUUUCCAGCUGGUAUGUCGUUUCCAUAGAUACUGGGCGUAUAGUUCCAAGUCCACAGUCUGGCCCAAGAUGGAGUCCUGCUUUCAAGAUGGAGCCUGUUCUGUUUGUUUCCUCCUUCAAAGUAAACAAAGAUUUGCCUAAAACAAAAAUUAUGUGUUAGAGUUCUGAAAAUGGUCUCUCUGAGCAAUUACGUGGUGAAUUAGCAAGCAUCCCAAAUAAGCCACGAAUGCUAAGCCAUUGGACAAGAGGAUUUUAAAGAGCAAAGAAAAACAGGAAACUAUCAAAGGAGAAAAAGCACAUCUUGACUGUGGAAAUCAUAUUGAAACACUGAAGUGCUUACUCGUGCUGCUGCUGUCAGUCAUACUCGUCACACUUAGUGACUGUCCUCAAUCCAAGCGGAAAACCCAUUCUCAGUUAACGUGGAUCAGUUGGAAAGAAAAUAAACCACUCUGCUGCUCUGAAGACAUGAAGACAUGUUCACUCUCACACAGGUUAUCUGGAUGCUCAGUGGGAAUGGAGGGCAGCCCAAGAAGGUUCUGAGACCCAUGGAAGUUUGAUUAUAACACCAUAUUGUCAAUGUUCUGUAUUUUGUAUGAAAACAA